GACAGAGGUGCCAAGCGUUAGGCGGAAUCACUGGGCUUAAAGCGUGUGUAGGCGGGUGCCUAAGUACCUUGUGAAAUCCCCCGGCUCAACCGGGGAACUGCUGGGUAUACUGGGUGCCUUGGGUUAUCUAGGGGCUGCCGGAACAAAUGGUGGAGCGGUGAAAUGCGUAGAUAUCAUUUGGAACGCCAACGGCGAAAGCAGGCAGCUGGGGAUGUACCGACGCUGAGACGCGAAAGCUAGGGUAGCGAACGGG
rnacentral:misc_RNA from 1 species